rnacentral:lncRNA from 1 species
GCAACAGUUUGAGUAGUGCGUUAUGACACAUAGAAAGUUUGAUAAUUCUGCCUUUAGAAUGAUGAUCUCGUUAUUUGUGUUCUUCCUCCAUUUUUUUCUGUUUUUUUUUUGGGUCCAAUAAUUACUUACUUUUUGUUCCUAUUGUUUAUAGUUUAAAUUUUCUUUUCUUACCAUAAGAUUUUAUGUAAUCGUAAAUUUUAUCUAAAUUGAAUUGGGGUUAUAGACCAAUAUACAUCUCUAGUUAAAG